CUCCCGUGAUUGUGGAGGCUGGAAGGUCUGAGACGUGCGGGGCAGUCUGGCAGGAUGGAGGCUCUGGGCAGGACUGGUGUUUGACCACAUAGCUGGUAUGGUGGGCUAGUCAAGUUGACGCUCGGAUGGACCUUGGCCUGGGACUCCUAAGAUCUGCCUCCUGAGACUGAGGUGAGGAUUCCACCGGCAGAUGCAGGUUGAGCAGCACCCUCCCAAAGUCAUGCUGAAAUCCCAACUCCCAGUACCUCAGGAUGUGACCUUAUUUGGGAAUGGGGUGGUCGCUGGAUGCGACUACAGAUGGCUCCCGUCUGACGCUGUGUCAGCGUCAUGCUCUCUGCGACGGUGGGAAGGCUUUCCCACAUAGCACUGUUCUCACGGAGCUGAAGGAGAGGCAUGAGCACCUUCUCUCUCAGCCCUCAGAAAGAGCCAGCUGUGCCCACACCUGAACUUCAGACUUGGAGCCUCUGGAACGGUUAGACAAUAAACUUUUGUUGUUUUAUGCCACCCA